rnacentral:rRNA from 1 species
GAUGAACGCUGGCGGCGUGCUUAACACAUGCAAGUCGAACGGGAAACCUUUUAUUGCAGCUUCGGCAGAUUUAGCUGGUUUCUAGUGGCGGACGGGUGAGUGACGCGUGGGUAACCUGCCUUAUACAGGGGGAUAACAGUCAGAAAUGGCUGCUAAUACCGCAUAAGCGCACAGAGCUGCAUGGCUCAGUGUGCAAAACUCCGGUGGUAUAAGAUGGACCCGCGUUGGAUUAGCUGGUUGGUGGGGUAACGGCCCACCAAGGCGACGAUCCAUAGCCGGCCUGAGAGGGUGAACGGCCACAUUGGGACUGAGACACGGCCCAGACUCCUACGGGAGGCAGCAGUGGGGAAUAUUGCACAAUGGGGGAAACCCUGAUGCAGCGACGCCGCGUGAAGGAAGAAGUAUCUCGGUAUGUAAACUUCUAUCAGCAGGGAAGAUAAUGACGGUACCUGACUAAGAAGCCCCGGCUAACUACGUG